rnacentral:rRNA from 1 species
AUCUAAGUACCUCCAGGAAAGGACAUCAAUUGAGACUCCCCUAGUAGUGGCGAGCGAACGGGGAAUAGCCCAAACCAAUUUAGUGUAAGCGUGCAGGCGUUGCUGGGUUGGGGUUGUAGGGCGUACUGGCUAUCAACUGCAUUUGAUAGACGGAGUUACAAAGUGUUGAUUUAGUGGAAGCAGCUGGGAAGCUGCGGCAUAGAGGGUGAUACCCCCGUACACGAAAAGUCAACGCCUCCGGAGUACGUUCCUGAGUACGGUGGGACACGUGAAACCCCGCUGGAAUCUGGGAGGACCAUCUUCCAAGGCUAAGUACUACCUAGCGACCGAUAGUGAACAAGUACCGUGAGGGAAAGGUGAAAAGAUCCCCGAAAGGGAAGUGAAAUAGACCCUGAAACCGUAUGCCUACAAACAGUGGGAGCUCUUCGGAGUGACCGCGUACCUUUUGCAUAAUGAGUCAGCGAGUUGUGGUUCGUGGCAAGGUUAAGCCGUCAGGUGUAGCCGUAGGGAAACCGAGUCUGAAUAGGGCGAAUAGUCGCGGGCUGCAGACCCGAAACCAAGUGAGCUACCCAUGGCCAGGUUGAAGCGUUGGUAAAACUUCGUGGAGGACCGAACCCACAUAUGUUGAAAAAUAUGGGGAUGAGCUGUGGGUAGGAGUGAAAGGCUAAUCAAACUUGGAAAUAGCUGGUUCUCCCCGAAAUGCAUUGAGGUGCAGCGUCGGGUAGCACCGANGGAGGUAGAGCACUGACAGGGUGCGGGGCCGCGAGGCUACCAACCCCUAUCAAACUCCGAAUUCCGUUGAGUGACGCCCGGCAGUGAGACUACGGGGGAUAAGCUCCGUGGUCGAGAGGGAAAGAGCCCAGAGUACCGGCUAAGGCCCCUAAGUGUGUGCUAAGUGGUCAAGGAUGUGGGGAAACCCAGACAACCAGGAGGUUGGCUUAGAAGCAGCCACCCUUUAAAGAAAGCGUAAUAGCUCACUGGUCGAGUUGCCCUGCGCCGUAAAUAUAACGGGGCUAAGCACGCCGCCGAAGCCGUGCGUUCGCGUAAGCGAGCGGUAGGGGAGCGUUCCAUAUGCAGCGAAGGUGUAUCGCGAGGUCCACUGGAGCGUAUGGAAGUGAGAAUGCUGACGUGAGUAACGAUAAAGNGGGUGAAAAACCCNCUCGCCGAAAACCUAAGGUUUCCUGUCCAAGGAUCAUCCGGGCAGGGUUAGUCGGCCCCUAAGGUGUAGCCGAAAGGCGAAGCCGAUGGGAAACAGGUUAAUAUUCCUGUACCACCAGUAUUGAGUAAAGCAGGGACGGAGAAGGGUAGGUGAUCGGGCUGAUGGAUUAGCCCGUACAAGCCUGUAGGUANUGGGACCGUAGGAAUAAAACGCGGACCCAGCUGAGAGGUGAUGUCGAGUCCAUAGGACGAAGUCAUUGAUCCCACGCUUCCAAGAAAAGCUGCGGACUACGUUGAUAUACUGGUGACCGUACCGCAAACCAACUCAGGUAGGUGGGUGGAGAACACUAAGGCGCUUGAGAGAACUCGGGUUAAGGAAUUAGGCAAAUUAGCACCGUAACUUCGGGAUAAGGUGUGCCCCUNGUAGGUGAAGGGACUUGCUCCUGGAGCUGANUGGGGUUGCAACAAAGCAGCGGUAGCGACUGUUUACCAAAAACACAGGACUCUGCUAAGCCGUAAGGCGAUGUAUAGGGUCUGACGCCUGCCCGGUGCCGGAAGGUUAAGAGGCGUUGUUAGGAUUCGUCCGAAGCAGCAAAUUGAAGCCCCGGUAAACGGCGGCCGUAACAAUAACGGUCCUAAGGUAGCGAAAUUCCUUGUCGGGUAAGUUC